AGUGAACGCUGGCGGUAGGCCUAACACAUGCAAGUCGAACGGCAGCACAGGAGAGCUUGCUCUCUGGGUGGCGAGUGGCGGACGGGUGAGGAAUACAUCGGAAUCUACUUUUUCGUGGGGGAUAACGUAGGGAAACUUACGCUAAUACCGCAUACGACCUACGGGUGAAAGCAGGGGACCUUCGGGCCGUGCGCGAUUGCAUGAGCCGAUGUCGGAUUAGCUAGUUGGCGGGGUAACGGCCCACCAAGGCGACGAUCCGUAGCUGGUCUGAGAGGAUGAUCAGCCACACUGGAACUGAGACACGGUCCAGACUCCUACGGGAGGCAGCAGUGGGGAAUAUUGGACAAUGGGCGCAAGCCUGAUCCAGCCAUACCGCGUGGGUGAAGAAGGCCUUCGGGUUGUAAAGCCCUUUUGUUGGGAAAGAAAUCCAGCUGGUUAAUACCCGGUUGGGAUGACGGUACCCAAAGAAUAAGCACCGGCUAACUUCGUGCCAGCCGCCGCCGUAA
rnacentral:rRNA from 1 species